AGAGUUUGAUCAUGGCUCAGAACGAACGUUGGCGGCGUGGAUGAGGCAUGCAAGUCGAACGCGAAAGCCGCAAGGUGAGUAGAGUGGCGGACGGGCGAGUAACACGUAAUCAAGCUACCUGCGAGACGGGGAUAACCUCGGGAAACCGAGGCUAAGACCCGAUGGUCUUCUUGGACUGCAUGGUCCGAGUAGUAAAUGGGCGGGAUCCUUCGGGAUCGCCUGCUCGCAGAGGUGAUUGCGGCCCAUCAGCUAGUUGGUAGGGUAACGGCCUACCAAGGCAACGACGGGUAGCCGGCCUUAGAGGGUGGUCGGCCGCACUGGGACUGAGACACUGCCCAGACUCCUACGGGAGGCUGCAGUCGAGAAUCUUCCGCAAUGGGCGCAAGCCUGACGGAGCGACGCCGCGUGGAGGACGAAGGCCUUCGGGUUGUAAACUCCUGUCACGAGUUAAGAAGGUGCUAUUACGAACAGUGGUAGCAUUUGACGUAAGCUCGAGAGGAAGCACUGGCUAACUCUGUGCCAGCAGCCGCGGUAAUACAGAGAGUGCAAACGUUGUUCGGAAUUACUGGGCUUAAAGCGCACGUAGGCGGCGUCGUAAGUGUCGGGUGAAAUCCCACGGCUCACCCGUGGAACUGCCCGGCAUACUGCGACGCUAGAGUGUGGUAGGGAAGAGCGGAACUCCUGGUGGAGCGGUGAAAUG
rnacentral:rRNA from 1 species